GAAACGCUACGUUGAGUAGAAGAGCCGGGAGGAUAUUAAACUGUCUUUUAUCUGUUCAUGAUUUUCACUGAACUAGAAAACAGUCAUUCUGCAGUGGAUCAUUCUAACUGACCCGUGGGAUCUAAGGGAUUAUUGCACACCUUUAAGUUAACUGUGUUUUGUCUGUUGACUGGUGUUUUUGAGUUGUUAGCUAGCUAGCUAGUUAAUCAUUAAGCUAUUUACAGUCUACAGCUACAACAGAACAGACUCUGAACAGACCCCUGUGGACAGAAGAGUGUGUGUGUGUUUCAGAAGGACUGUGCUGUGUGUACUUUAUGUCUUACAAAUGUUAUUUGAUGAACGUCUGGUGUUAAACGCCACUUUGAGACUAAGCUUAAUAAAUCCUCUGAGGAUGAAGAUGAGACUGAAUCCAUCAAACAUGCUGUGUGGAGGUUUGGGAACCAAGCUUACAGCCUCAACCUACCAAGUCCAGCCAAAGCAUUGCUCACUGCACGAUGGUUAAUAUAUGAAGGAGGUGUUUCUCUGUAGCUCAGAGGGUUUGUUUGAUGGCUCACCAAACAAAGAGACAAUCAAAUCAAGAAUAAAAUACUUUUUCAUGUCA